CCGGUGGAAGGUUUACCUGCUAGGCUCGUCCCACCUGUGUGGAGCUCCCAUCGCCCUCCAGCGUUGCGCAGCCUGAAGGGACAGGACGGACACGCGGGUGCCUCCUUCUAAUUCAUCUUCACCAUUGUGGUUGUCAAUAUGGCAUGCAGAAUUAUCCCUCUUUCCAGGUUUUCCCCAAGGACCCUGGACAAUGCUGGUUUUUCCU
rnacentral:lncRNA from 1 species